AUUGAACGCUGGCGGCAGGCCUAACACAUGCAAGUCGAGCGGAUGAAGGGAGCUUGCUCCUGGAUUCAGCGGCGGACGGGUGAGUAAUGCCUAGGAAUCUGCCUGGUAGUGGGGGAUAACGUCCGGAAACGGGCGCUAAUACCGCAUACGUCCUGAGGGAGAAAGUGGGGGAUCUUCGGACCUCACGCUAUCAGAUGACCCUAGGUCGGAUUAGCUAGUUGGUUGGGUAAAGGCCUACCAAGGCGACGAUCCGUAACUGGUCUGAGAGGAUGAUCAGUCACACUGGAACUGAGACACGGUCCAGACUCCUACGGGAGGCAGCAGUGGGGAAUAUUGGACAAUGGGCGAAAGCCUGAUCCAGCCAUGCCGCGUGUGUGAAGAAGGUCUUCGGAUUGUAAAGCACUUUAAGUUGGGAGGAAGGGCAGUAAGUUAAUACCUUGCUGUUUUGACGUUACCAACAGAAUAAGCACCGGCUAACUUCGUG
rnacentral:rRNA from 1 species